rnacentral:lncRNA from 1 species
GAUUAUGUGGGACAACACAACCACACUUGUGAGGUGUACAUAGGACUUGAACCUAAGGAGAUGAGAAAGUCUUUCUGCAAAAGGAAUUAUACAAAGAUAGAAAGCUGGUGAGAAAAAGAAGGAUAACAAGAUAAAGAGGAAAUUACAAGUAGCCAGGUUCCCUUAGAGUGAAGCAAACCAGAGUCAGUGUUGAAGGAAAAGGAAAGCUAGAAACAGGACCUGGAACUUCAAAGACAAAACAAGCCUUGAGUUCCCCACCCCCAGAGGUGUUAAAGUGCCAAGGCACACAUACUCCUCCACUAAAAGUUGCUUGACAGACUCUAAGUGCCUGGGUCACCAAUGGGCCUUAAAGGGUGAGGAGAUCUGAGGUGCUAUGACUUUGACAUUGUGCAGUGUUUUGCAGUUGAAGUCUUGAAAGAAAGGAGAUGUCAUGUGUAUAUAAUGCAAGCUUACAGAUUCUAAGACUAGUCUCUGAAGCUUGGUUUGCCUGUUAAUUUGUACACACCCUCAAAUGAGCUGGUUUCCUAAGAAUGUGAGAGCUCUCAAGUGCGGGCUGUGAUUUUAGUCACUAGAUGUUAUUUAGAGCACAAAUGUCAUCACUAACAUGGGCCAGCCAUUGUGGUACAGAAGCAGAGACCCUUGACCACUUUCUACCUGCAACUUUCUUACAUUUAAUAGAAACUCUUCUCUAUUGGGAUUUUAUUCCAUCUAAUAGGGAACAAAAUAGGAGGCAGAACUUUUGUUUACUACCCAGCAUGCCGCUCAGCGGUGCAGAAGCUGGCUGUGCUUUCAAUGACGAUAUGAAUAAUGAUUUAGAAGUUUGUUUUUUGGGGUUUUUGUUUUUGUUUUUGUUCUUUUGUUUUGUUUUGUUUUGUUUUGUUUUUUGUGGCUCCCACCCCUUGCAAACACUCCCAGGGCUAAGCACUUUUCUCCUUUCUCAGACGGGGAGGAACAGUAUUUGAAUUGAUCUCAGAUACAAAUUUCUCUCCUUCAGACUGUUUGCCCGAGCCUUAGAAAUGUGGCCUGAUUACAUAAGCACUCUGGAAUGUAGAUUAAACAGCAUUCAAUUUGAAAAUCUAAUCACCUCAUCUAAAUAUCAUUAAGUUAUAAUGGGCUGAUUGAUAGAGACCAAAGCCGUCUUAGCCUGGUGUGCAUGCCUUUCACUCAGCCAGCCUUUUCAAACCAAGAUGUUGAUAAAGGGGUCUAUAAAUCUUAGUAGUUGGAGACAGUUUAAAAGCAUAGUUCACUGGGUAAGGUCACACCCACUUAAGUGACCUAUUUUGUAUACUUUUCAAAAAUAGGUUAAUUAACUUAAUAGAAAUAAUAGGUCUCUGGUAUUGAUGUGCAAUUACUACAAAAACAGGGUUGUUGGUUUUUUUUUUUUUUUUUCUUUCUUUCUUUCUUUCUUUUUCCUUUCCGAGCAAACACGAUGUUCAUGAAAUUGAGGGCAUAAUCGCUAUGACAGAAACCAGGUUUAGCAAGGCGAGCUGUGUUCAGCAAAUACAUUUCAGACUUGCCCUUUAAAAUCUACCUUUAUUCCAGGUCCUAGGACAUGGGCUCCUGUCUCCUGGAGCAUUCUGUUCCUGGCACUCUCCUAUUACAGCUUUUAGGAGGGAUUACUUUAGCUGUUGCUGCUUUCCUAAUCGCUGUACUGCAGUUUAUUUAGCUCUUGGCCCUGGAGCCUCAGCAGGCAUAGAGUGCAACAAAUGCUGGCCUCUUUUCUUUUUAAAUCAAGGGCAUUUUCUUUAUGGUUCCAACACAUGGUUCAUGUGCUAGUGUAGUUUCAGGGAAGGAUACAGUGGAAAGGGCGAAGGAUGCCCGGGCGAGAGUCUUAUUGGGACAGGCUGCAGCUUCCUAAUGCAUCCGGCUUUAUUUUGAUGCUAUUUUUGUUUUUAUUGUUAUUAUUUGGAACUCAAGCCAUUCUCCCAAAAUAUUUUAUACUUUGCUUAGGUAGGGCUGUUAUAACCUUUCUUUUCUUUCCCUUUUUAAAUUUAUUUUAUGUUUAUGAGUAUGCUGUGGCUGUCUCCAGACACACCAGAAGAGGGCAUCAGAUCCCAUUACAGAAGGUUGUGAGCCACCAUAUAGUUGCUAGGAAUUGAACUCAGGACCUCUGGAAGAGCAGCUAGUGCUCUUAACCGCUGAGCCAUCUCUCUAGCCCCACAAGCUUUGUUUUCUAUUACUGGCUACUAAAAUUGUGUCAUUUGAAUAUGUUUUGUGUCUUAUGUAAAGGGGUGUUUAUUAUAUUAUUCUGUAGAACCUUUAAGUACAUUUAAAUUAGAAUUUCAUGUUUAGAAAUGCUAACUCCCAGCCAUUGACAGUUGCAAAACCCCGUAGUCUUUAACAGGGAGACUGUUUCAGAAAAGAUGAAAGGAGGAAUGGUGGGCUAGAU